rnacentral:lncRNA from 1 species
AACUGGUUAGCUAGUUUAACUGAACUUCUAAUCUUUAGGUUCAAUGAGAUAUCCUGUUUCAAAAAACAAGAAGGUUGAAAACAACAGAGGAUGAUACAGAUCAUUGACUUCUGAUCUCCCCACUUCAGAAUGUACACCAGCAUAUACAUGUACACAGACAUGAGCUCUCACACACCCACACACAUGUACACAGGCACACACAUGAAAACUGUUUCCACUGUUUCUUUGUAGCACUUCAAAGAGAACCUAAACAUAUCAUGACAAAUCCUAACUUUUUAGUAAUAGUUCUGGAAUAUUUUUUUUCAAUGAAAAAGUAAUGAGUCCUUUUUUAUUGCAGUUGCUUAACGUGCUAACCCCAUAAGCUCAGGCCUUUCAUCCAUCCAUCACAGCAGACGGCUGGGGAAAGACCCUGAGAAACCAUGGGACCGAGAUCUUAUAGGGUAGCAUAAGGGGAGUGUCUAGAGGUCUGCAGACUACCCUCCUGUACUGAUUAGUUGAACAGACUGCAGCUGUGGAGCCUCCAGGUCUGUGGCCUAGCAAACACAACAGAAGGACUAAGAAUGUGACAUGAGACUAUGUAGAAGGACAGAGACCAACGCCUAGGUUUGAUGAUGCUAAGUCCAGCUGCGGGUUGCUCAGGAGGAGCUGUAAGAAGAAAUGUGCACUACUCCUAUACUGAAAUACUCAAAAACUCUUCUGAGGUCUUCCCUGAACCUUGCUUCUACUUUCCACAAUUUGAGCUACCUGGAAAAAUUCCAAAAAUGAAAAUGC